CGGUUUGAUCAUGGCUCAGAACGAACGCUGGCGGCAGGCUUAACACAUGCAAGUCGAACGCCCCGCAAGGGGAGUGGCAGACGGGUGAGUAACGCGUGGGAAUCUACCUGGUUCUACGGAAUAACUGAGGGAAACUUCAGCUAAUACCGUAUACGCCCUACGGGGGAAAGAUUUAUCGGUGCCAGAUGAGCCCGCGUUGGAUUAGCUAGUUGGUGGGGUAACGGCCUACCAAGGCGACGAUCCAUAGCUGGUCUGAGAGGAUGAUCAGCCACACUGGGACUGAGACACGGCCCAGACUCCUACGGGAGGCAGCAGUGGGGAAUAUUGGACAAUGGGCGCAAGCCUGAUCCAGCAAUGCCGCGUGAGUGAAGAAGGCCUUCGGGUUGUAAAGCUCUUUUGUCAGGGAAGAAACGGCUGAGGAUAAUACCUUUGGCUAAUGACGGUACCUGAAGAAUAAGCACCGGCUAACUACGUGCCAGCAGCCGCGGUAAUAACCUAAAUAGCGCUGU
rnacentral:rRNA from 1 species